GAUGAACGCUAGCGGGAGGCCUAACACAUGCAAGCCGAGCGGUAUUGUUUCUUCGGAAAUGAGAGAGCGGCGUACGGGUGCGUAACACGUGUGCAACCUGCCUUUAUCUGGGGGAUAGCCUUUCGAAAGGAAGAUUAAUACUCCAUAAUAUAUUGAACGGCAUCGUUUAAUAUUGAAAGCUCCGGCGGAUAGAGAUGGGCACGCGCAAGAUUAGCUAGUUGGUGAGGUAACGGCUCACCAAGGUGAUGAUCUUUAGGGGGCCUGAGAGGGUGAUCCCCCACACUGGUACUGAGACACGGACCAGACUCCUACGGGAGGCAGCAGUGAGGAAUAGUGGUCAAUGGGUGCAAGCCUGAACCAGCCAUCCCGCGUGAAGGACGACUGCCCUAUGGGUUGUAAACUUCUUUUGUAUAGGGAUAAACCUACCCUCGAGAGGGUAGCUGAAGGUACUAUACGAAUAAGCACCGGCUAACUCCGUG
rnacentral:rRNA from 1 species